GUGAACGUUACAAACUGUUGCCUCGGCGGGAUCUCUGCCCCGGGUGCGUCGCAGCCCCGGACCAAGGCGCCCGCCGGAGGACCAACCAAAACUCUUAUUGUAUACCCCCUCGCGGGUUUUUUUAUAAUCUGAGCCUUCUCGGCGCCUCUCGUAGGCGUUUCGAAAAUGAAUCAAAACUUUCAACAACGGAUCUCUUGGUUCUGGCAUCGAUGAAGAACGCAGCGAAAUGCGAUAAGUAAUGUGAAUUGCAGAAUUCAGUGAAUCAUCGAAUCUUUGAACGCACAUUGCGCCCGCCAGUAUUCUGGCGGGCAUGCCUGUCCGAGCGUCAUUUCAACCCUCGAACCCCUCCGGGGGGUCGGCGUUGGGGAUCGGCCCUCCCUUAGCGGGUGGCCGUCUCCGAAAUACAGUGGCGGUCUCGCCGCAGCCUCUCCUGCGCAGUAGUUUGCACACUCGCAUCGGGAGCGCGGCGCGUCCACAGCCGUUAAACACCCAACUUCUGAAAUGUUGACCUCGGAUCAGGUAGGAAUACCCGCUGAACUUAAGCAUAUCAAUAAGCGGA
rnacentral:rRNA from 1 species